rnacentral:rRNA from 1 species
GAUGAACGCUGGCGGCGUGCCUAAUACAUGCAAGUCGAGCGAACGGACGAGAAGCUUGCUUCUCUGAUGUUAGCGGCGGACGGGUGAGUAACACGUGGAUAACCUACCUAUAAGACUGGGAUAACUUCGGGAAACCGUAGCUAAUACCGGAUAAUAUUUUGAACCGCAUGGUUCAAAAGUGAAAGACGGUCUUGCUGUCACUUAUAGAUGGAUCCGCGCUGCAUUAGCUAGUUGGUAAGGUAACGGCUUACCAGGGCAACGAUGCAUAGCCGACCUGAGAGGGUGAUCGGCCACACUGGAACUGAGACACGGUCCAGACUCCUACGGGAGGCAGCAGUAGGGAAUCUUCCGCAAUGGGCGAAAGCCUGGCGGAGCAACGCCGCGUGAGUGAUGAAGGUCUUCGGAUCGUAAAACUCUGUUAUUAGGGAAGAACAUAUGUGUAAGUAACUGUGCACAUCUUGACGGUACCUAAUCAGAAAGCCACGGCUAACUACGUG